GACAAGGUCUCACUGAGCUCGCUACCCUGACCUCAAACUUGGGAUUCUCCUGCCUCAGCCUCUGCAGCACUCCUGGCUAUAUAAAUCCCUUUAAAUUGAAAUGCUAAAUGACUAAAACAGAUUCAAUGCAUGAUAAACUACUCUGACAAAACCACAGUGCUGACACCCACCCACGAGGAAGGCUAAGUGCACACUGCCCUUGCCCUGGUACGAUGGACAACACAAGGCUGUUCCGGGUGGGCUUUGUGGGAAAGGAACCCAUGCAAGUGUCCGCAGCUGGGGGCCGAAGUGCAGAAAGAUGCAGAGUGGCUGACCAGGGCCCCAGUGCUCUGGUGACCUUGUGAAACCCUCAAAUCUCUGCCGUGGAACCAAGAGGGACCUGGACUACUAACAUUAAAGUCUAAAGUUUUAAUUUAAGAUGUUAAGAAUUUAAAACAAGGCAGCCUUGGACUGGGGUGCGAAUCGCUGGAGAGACCCUCACUGUCGUCCUAAAGGCACAGGAACACACUGCUGGAAACAUCAGAGUUCCUCGCUUUCCAAAGCUCUCGUACACUAAGGUGGUAGGGUGGAGGUGGCUGGAGGGUGGGGACAAGCACAGCCCAGACCCUCUGGCAUCCAUUGAGUCACAGGCCCAGUGCUGCCCACCGGCAGCUGCCCAGCCACAUGCCUAGUCUGCACAAACGUUAACAAGGAAAUGAAAUCUGAGGCUUCCACACCACACAGGGUAUCAGCCUUAUGAAAUAUUAAUUUCUGGAAACAAAGAACAAAAAUGCUGAAAAUCUGUCCUCACACAAAACAGAACCACGAGCAUCUAGAAUUCAGAUCUGGGGGCUCAGCCAAGCCCCCCACCUCUGACAGCCUGGGAGCCAGGCCCAGCGCCCUGUGCCUCAGCGUCCCCGCAGCAAAGUGGAAAUGACAGUGCUCACCCCAAGGCAGUGGGAACAAAACCACCAGCCCAAGUCAGAAACAUGCCAGUAAAGGGGCUCAUUACAGCAGCUACAUGGUGACAACCUUGUAAUGUAGACAUCUGAGCAGCGAGACAGAACUCCAAGGGGCCAAAGCCAUCAGUGGCAUCCCAGCUCGGUGACUUACUGUCCACACGUCCUCAACAAGGUAAGGCUGUGCCUCAGUUUCCCAACCAAGGAACACCCAUCUCACAAGUUACUAUAAGGAAUAAGGGGAUGUAUGCAACCCCAAGACACUAAAUACUCUAGAAAUGUCAGCUAUUUUUAUAAUCUUCAUGUCUACAGGUACAGAAGAACCAAUGGUGAACUGUAGGAGAAAUGCACACGCAGCAAAGCACCAUGCACAUGUGCUGCUUGCACCAACAGCACAGUGCCUGGGAGGUGGUGCCGCAGGCCUGAGGCAUCAGGGCUUUUACAAGGCAGUGCACCUGCAAGACUGGGGCACCAGCCAACCCUGCUGGCUCCAAGCAGGGUCUCGGGAACCAAGGGGAAUGCAUAGCUCUUCCUAAAACUAAAGGUGUUCAUCGGAAAUGAAACUGAAUCCCACUGGGGCAAGAGAUGUGCUUAAGUGUGCAAGGCAAAAACAACCCCACCAUGCCAUGCAAACUGAACAAAACCAAGCGAUGUGGGGCACGGAACUUGGGCCAUGGAAACAGUGGGGUGUUCGUGCUGAAGUCCAAAGCAGCCUUCCUGUCCACCCUCAGAUGCAGGAUCUGUGAGAAGCUGAGCUCCCCAAGAGGCUGAACUAAUGAAAGUAAAUAAAUGAAAGCAGGAAGAAGAGAACUCCAUGGGUGUGGGCUGGAGCAAGUUCAGUACGCUGCCAGGUGGGUCAGAAAAAAUGGGACAAUCAGAAUCCAGGAAUUAUCUAGCAAAUUCAAUUCAGAGCAUACUGAAGGCACAUGGAGUAACAGUUGAGAGGGCAAGAUUAGAGGCCUUUGUUAAGAUUCUGGACACAGUUUGUCCAUGGCUAUGUAAUAAGGCAGAAAUAAAUACUGAAGUAUGGGAGACAGUCGGAAACCAGUUGGAUGAAGCCCUUCUGGCCGAGCCUAAUCGUUUCCCAGAAGGUGCUCCUUUUUAUUGGGCUUUGUUAAACGCAGCUCUCACGACCCCAACCAAAAAGGAAAUCUUGGAAGCCUUAGAGAAGGUGCAUGUAGGGUUAGAACAAGUUAGAGAGGAGCGCUCUCAGACUUCAGAGUCCCCUGAAUCCGGAAAA